UGAUGCUUCUUGAUGGCACGAUUGUAAUUUUUCUUUUUCUGAUUUUGAUUUUUGGUGUUGUGAAGGGAUUGUGAUGAGUAGGUCGUUGGUGCUUUAGCUGCACAAGACGGAGGGUCGGGGAGGGGAUUAUGCGGAGUUUCUGCACUUGCCAAGGAGGAAAUUCACUGAUUUUGGGUUUAAAGAUAUAGCCUCCGAAUAGUCAAUGGCGGCUGAGGCUGAACUCUCCAAACACAAAGGAGGUAUCUUUAACCGCUAUGAUGAUGUCAUCGUUAUGUAAUUUGUAAAAUAAAAAUCCACCCCUACCCCUCCCCUUCCUAAAUUCAAGUAAAGCUAAAACCUGAGUUUUUUUUCAUUUUGUGCUCAUUUAUGUAGUCUAAGAUGUCUAUAUCUGGUUUAACGUUUAAUUCCCAAAAGAUAUCCUGCUAUGCGGCACGAGCAAGAGGUUCUAAUUUCUCUGUUGGUUCUUCCUCCUUGAUUUCUAAUGGGUUCAUUAAGCUGAAGUUGAGCUUUUUAUCUCAUACGGAUAGGAAAUAUUUGGCUAUGACAGUCCGCAGAGUUUUGGUUGGAAGACCUGUCAGGAUAAAGAGCAGCAUAUAUGCUGCAUUUGGUGACAUGGCUGAUGAUUCAACCGGUAGAUACGCUCUUUCUUUUAGUUUCUCAUGAAUGCUUGAUAUUGGUGUUGCGAACAUCACGCAUAAUUAUUUACGAGAUAUGUUAUAUUAAGUAUAUGCGUAUUACAAACAAUGAUACAGUUUCUCUCAGCCAGACUAGCCUAAUAAGACCACAAUGACAAUAUCCUAUGCAAACGAAAGAACUUAUUCACGGGCAUAUAGAUUAAAGUUGGAGGUUGAAUCUUUUAACUUCCACACUUUAGAUUUAUUCAUGGCAUUCACUCUCCAAUUAGUAUCAAGAUCAGAGCCAAAUCUAAC